rnacentral:rRNA from 1 species
GACGAACGCUGGCGGCGUGCUUAACACAUGCAAGUCGAGCGGAGCGGCGAACGGGUGAGUAACGCGUGAGUAACUGCCCCCCUCUCUGGGAUAACAGUUGGAAACGGCUGCUAAUACCGGAUAGUGGGGGAUGACUCGCGUCCUAUCGGCUUGUUGGUGGGGUAGGGGCCUACCAAGGCGACGCCGGGUAGCCGGCCUGGGAGGGGGACCGGCCACAUGGGGCUGAGAUACGGCACAAACUGCUACGGGAGGCAGUAGGGGGGAAUAUGGCACAAUGGGGGAAACCCUGAGGCAGAAACGCCGCGUGCGGUAUGACGGCCUUCGGGUGGUAAACAGCUUUCAGCGAUGACGCGGUAGUGGCAGAAGAAGCACCGGCUAACUACGUGCCAGCAGCCGCGGUAAUAU